rnacentral:rRNA from 1 species
UACAGAGGGUGCGAGCGUUGUCCGGAAUCACUGGGCGUAAAGGGCGCGUAGGUGGCUCUAUAAGUCGGGGGUGAAAUGCUGCGGCUCAACCGCAGCGCUGCCUCCGAGACUGUAGGGCUCGAGCACGGUAGAGGCCGAUGGAAUUCCCGGUGUAGCGGUGGAGUGCGUAGAGAUCGGGAGGAAUACCAGUGGCGGAAGGCGGCCAACUGGACGAAGUACUGACGGCUGAGACUCGAAAGCGUGGGGAGCAAACAGG